rnacentral:rRNA from 1 species
UCCGCACCGUGCAAGGUUGUUUUGUCGAGAGGGGAGCGCAUUUCAUAUCCGGCAAGUUCAAUGCCAUGCAGCAGAUGCAGCCGUUGUCCGUCAUUGUAUCUGCCCUGAACGACUACUG